rnacentral:rRNA from 1 species
UACGUAGGCAGCGAGCGUUGUUCGGAAUUACUGGGCGUAAAGAGUGUGUAGGCGGCGCUCUAAGUUCGGUGUGAAAUCUCUCGGCUUAACUGGGAGGGUGCGCCGGAAACUGGAGUGCUCGAACGUGGGAGAGGAAAGCGGAAUUCCUGGUGUAGCGGUGAAAUGCGUAGAUAUCAGGAGGAACACCUGCGGUGUAGACGGCUUUCUGGACCAUUGUUGACGCUGAGGCGCGAAAGCUAGGGGAGCAAACAGG